rnacentral:rRNA from 1 species
UACGUAGGGUGCAAGCGUUAAUCGGAAUUACUGGGCGUAAAGCGUGCGCAGGCGGCUAUGCAAGACAGAUGUGAAAUCCCCGGGCUUAACCUGGGUACUGCAUUUGUGACUGCAUGGCUAGAGUACGGUAGAGGGGGAUGGAAUUCCGCGUGUAGCAGUGAAAUGCGUAGAUAUGCGAAGGAACACCGAUGGCGAAGGCAAUCCCCUGGACCUGUACUGACGCUCAUGCACGAAAGCGUGGGGAGCAAACAGG